rnacentral:rRNA from 1 species
CAGGCAAAUCCGGAAAAUCAAGGCUGAGGCGUGAUGACGAGGCACUACGGUGCUGAAGCAACAAAUGCCCUGCUUCCAGGAAAAGCCUCUAAGCAUCAGGUAACAUCAAAUCGUACCCCAAACCGACACAGGUGGUCAGGUAGAGAAUACCAAGGCGCUUGAGAGAACUCGGGUGAAGGAACUAGGCAAAAUGGUGCCGUAACUUCGGGAGAAGGCACGCUGAUAUGUAGGUGA